ensembl:rRNA 5S_rRNA 5S ribosomal RNA
CUGUUCGACCUUUCCACUCUGAACACAUCUGAUCUCCUUUGACCUCAGAAGCUAAGCAGGGUAGGGCCUGGUUAGUACUUGGAUAGGAGAAGGCAGGACCAUAGGAAAAA